rnacentral:rRNA from 1 species
UACGUAGGGUGCAAGCGUUGUCCGGAAUUAUUGGGCGUAAAGAGCUCGUAGGCGGUUUGUCGCGUCUGCUGUGAAAACUCGGGGCUUAACUCCGGGCCUGCAGUGGGUACGGGCGGACUAGAGUGCGGUAGGGGAGACUGGAAUUCCUGGUGUAGCGGUGAAAUGCGCAGAUAUCAGGAGGAACACCGGUGGCGAAGGCGGGUCUCUGGGCAACAACUGACGCUGAGGAGCGAAAGCGUGGGGAGCGAACAGG